UCAAGGAGACAGAGCCAGAGCCCUUAUAGGACCUGAUGGUCCACACUUUUAAAAUUCUUAAUUUUACCAGGCCUGGCCGGAAGAAAACGAGAGUAUGAGCUGAGCCAGAGUUGGUUCGAGAAAUGGUUUAACAGCUCCCCUUGGCUUACUACCCUGAUUCCUACUUUAAUAGGCCCCGUACUGAUUUUACUGCUGUUACUAACCUUUGGACCUUGCAUUCUUAAUAGACUGGUUACAUCUAUGAAAGAACGCUUGGGGGCCAUCCAAUCAAUGGUCCUCCGGACACAAUACCAACAUCCCCGAAACAUGGAUAGGCCUGGUGACCUCGCGCUCCUAGAGGCCCCAUGACUGGGUCCACAGAAGUCUUAAGAAAAGGGGGGAACGUGAGACCUAAACCUAACUGACUCCAUUUUAGAAAAAGCCUCCAUCUUGAGGGUGAACUAGGCCCGAACCCAGUUCCAGGAAAAACCGCAGGAAGUACUUAGGCAGCCUGCCCUUCUUUACUUCCCUAGCAACAGCAACAGCCAAUCAGUUUAAAAGAGGCGCCUAUGGGGGUGCCUGGGUGGC